rnacentral:rRNA from 1 species
CCUACGGGGGGCAGCAGUGAGGAAUAUUGCGCAAUGCCCGCAAGGGUGACGCAGCGACGCCGCGUGAAGGAUGAAGGCCCUAUGGGUCGUAAACUUCUGUUGAAGGGGAAGAAUAUGCCGCUAUAGGCGGCAUUGACGGUACCCUUAGAGAAAGCACCGGCUAACU